rnacentral:rRNA from 1 species
AUUGAACGCUGGCGGCAGGCUUAACACAUGCAAGUCGAACGAGUGGCGGACGGGUGAGUAAUGCUUGGGAAACUAGCUUAUGGAGGGGGAUAACUACUGGAAACUGUAGCUAAUACCGCGUACCAUAGGAUGAGCCCAAGUGGGCUUAGGUAGUUGGUGAUGUAAAGGCUCACCAAGCCGACGAUCUCUAGCUGGUCUGAGCGGAGGACCAGUCACACGAGGAGUGAGACACGGCCCAGACUCGUACGAGAGGCAGCAGUGGGGAAUAUUGCGCAAUGGGGGCAACCCUGACGCAGCCAUGCCGAGUGUAUGAAGAAGGCCUUCGGGUUGUAAAGUACUUUCAGUCGGGAGGCGUUACCGGCAGAAGAAGCACCGGCUAACUCCGUGCCAGCAGCCGCGGUAAUUC